AUUGAACGCUGGCGGCAUGCCUUACACAUGCAAGUCGAACGGUAACAGGUCUUCGGAUGCUGACGAGUGGCGAACGGGUGAGUAAUACAUCGGAACGUGCCUAGUAGUGGGGGAUAACUACUCGAAAGAGUGGCUAAUACCGCAUGAGAUCUACGGAUGAAAGCAGGGGAUCGCAAGACCUUGUGCUACUAGAGCGGCCGAUGGCAGAUUAGGUAGUUGGUGGGAUAAAAUCUUACCAAGCCGACGAUCUGUAGCUGGUCUGAGAGGACGAUCAGCCACACUGGGACUGGGACACGGCCCAGACUCCUACGGGAGGCAGCAGUGGGGAAUUUUGGACAAUGGGCGCAAGCCUGAUCCAGCAAUGCCGCGUGCAGGAUGAAGGCCUUCGGGUUGUAAACUGCUUUUGUACGGAACGAAAAGCCCUGGGUUAAUACCCUGGGGUCAUGACGGUACCGUAAGAAUAAGCACCGGCUAACUACGUGCCAGCCGCCGCGGUAAUAC
rnacentral:rRNA from 1 species